UAGAGGGAAGAGAAAGUACUGAGAUGAGCUAGCCUUGUGUUCUCUGGCAAGUGAUUAGGAGAAAGAUGGAGACCCUAACAGGGUGGAUUCUGCUUCAGGAUUGAGCCCUGACACAAGGAUCAAGGAGCAAAAAACAUUCUCAUCCCACCCCUUCCCUGCAAACUGUUAGAUGACAAACUCCUCUGAACAGAUGGCCUGGGUUAAGCAUCUGCAAUCUGAAAAGGUGACAUUGUCAAAGUGAUUCCUAGAAAGCAUGGUGUCGAGCCAAAAAUGCAGCUCAACUGGUGUCCUGUUGCAUUGGCAAGAACAGUGAUUGCAUAUCAUAUCGCUGAGCCUCCACAGCCCUCAAUGCUGCAACAGAGCACAGGAGGAAUUUAUCUUCUUGGAAAAACUGAUAUGCUCCCUACAGCUAUCGAAAAGAACAAUGAGGAAGACGAUCAAGUGUUAUAGCUACACAAUGCACAGUGUGUCCCCUUCAUUUCAACAUGUCUCCCUCACAAUUAGAAAUGUAGGUAAUUAUCGCAGAAGGGACCAUGCCACAAACGUCAGAUCUCGAUCUAACACAUGCAGGGCUCCAGGGAAUUGGUUUGGCCCACUAACAAGAAAGGGUUUCCUUGCAGAAUUUGGAUUCUGAUGUGGAUUCAGAUUUCAAACACUCCAAAAGCUUUGAGGCAUCUUGACUGAGUAGCCUGGUUCAGGCCUGUUUCUAGUGAUGGGUGAAACUGACCUUUGUGCUGUAGACCUGUGUAGCACUGAUGCCACGCCACCCUUUAGUCCAUUGGACGAGGUAGUACAUACACUUUGUGCUGUCUCCCUUCACAGUGGGGCAUAAUUGGUAACCAAGGGGAAAAUUUGUAUUUGCCUCUUCUACAAAUAUGUAAACAACUUCUGGUCUUGUCUCUAAAUCUAUCUUUAUUCCCCACAAAAGUGAAGAGAAGGCAUUUUGGUUUUGAGAUAAAUGGCCAUUUUCCCAGGGAAAGUGGUACUAUUUUAGCUGGUGUGAAAAUUUGCUCUUUAUUCCAAGAGAGAAGUUCAUCACUUUUUGUCAGAGAAUUUUUUUUUCCUCGUGAGGAAUUGGAACCCCUGACCAAAUUCACAAAGCUCCUAGUUCCCACAAUCCAAGUCUAAGACCGUCUCAACUGGAAAAUGGCUGUGAUCGUCUGUGGUAUUUGAACUGUUCCUCUUGCUGGAGUAGAAUAUAAUAGGAUGCAGGACUGGACUGCCCCCUAAGAAGAGAGUCAUCAAAUUGACUAUCCUGGCUCCAGAAUUCAAAAGGCUGUAUUUUGGAUGACCCCUUCUCAGCACAAGUGUGUGGUGGGAUAACCUCUCCCUCCUGUGGGCUGCUGCUACCUACCACUUCAUGCUAGCUAUUCCUUUCAACUUCUGGAGCUCCCCCUACUAAUCUGAGUGACACAAUGAGGUCCAGUUCUAAAUUUGGCAAUGAGAUCUAGCAUGAUCAGGGUUGGACACCAAACCUUAGUGUGUGUCUGUGUAGGAAAUAAAUGACUGGUCAUAGGGAGGGAAUAAUAUUAGAUCCCGAUAAUAUGUUACAUAGAGUGCUUCAAGACCCAGGCCUUGCUGUCAUCAUUUCACUUUGCUCCUCCUUCUGCAGCACAAACACCCCCACACACCUGCUGUGUCACCUUUUAUACAGUACAACUGUGAUGGGGAAUCAGGGCCACUGCGUUGCACCAACGUGAGAGGCUGAAAUAGUUCAAAUGAAAG